AGUCAUACGCUCGUCUCAAAGAUUAAGCCAUGCAUGUGUAAGUAUAAAUCUUUUACUUUGAAACUGCGAAUGGCUCAUUAUAUCAGUUAUAGUUUAUUUGGUAGUCCCUUACUAUUUGGAUACCCGUAGUAAUUCUAGAGCUAAUACAUGCAUAAACACUCGACUUUUGGAAGAGUGGUAUUUAUUAGAUUGAAACCAACUCGUUUCGGCGAUGUAAUGGUGAUUCAUAAUAACUUUGCGAAUCGCAUGGCUUCUGCCGGCGAUGGACCAUUCAAGUUUCUGCCCUAUCAGCUAGACGGUAGUGUAUUGGACUACCGUGGCUUUAACGGGUAACGGAGGA
rnacentral:rRNA from 1 species